rnacentral:lncRNA from 1 species
AGAAGCCACACCUGUGGUGAGGAGCUCUCCAUAUGGGGUUGCAGGUGCCAUGUGAGUCUCCAUGUGUGGUUGUGUUUUAAGCCCAGGAAGUGCUAGGAGUAAGCUGGAAUAAGCUAGAACUCACAGCUGGUUCUUCCACAUAGAGAAAUGAAGGAGUGGAAUCACUGGGGAUACCUCCCGCAAUAGGAAAGCCCCUUGAGAACUGAAACAAGUCAUCUGUUUCUCAGGAGGAGCUGACCAAGAGCCCCCUCCUUUCGUGUGAAUUUAAAUUCCCCUUUUCAUGAGACUUUUCUUAAAGACAAGGAAAAAAAGCUAUCAGGGGAAAAUGAAUAAUAUGACAUCGAAAGUAUUGAAAGGCUUGAAAUGAUCCCACAUGUGUCAUCUGACUUUGAGAGGUGAAGGGGCUCCCGUCUGUACGUAGAGAGGCUGGCGUGCUGCCUGGAUUACUUGUCUGAUGUCACAUGCUAAUGGGAUCCCAGCUAGAAUGCUGGCAACUCUGACUGUAACAACCUCAGACACCUUUGCGCACAGCUUCAGUUUCAAAUUAAUUUUCACAUCCUCCUUAGGAAACUGGGCCCUCCGUAAUCAACAGAACUCUGCAUCGCACAUCCUAACAUUGAAACUCACCUGAGCACAAGGAUCCUACAGUUCUCCUAGACAGACCUCAAGAACCCGCACAGACCCUCGGGGCACACUCCCCUGUGUGUUUUGGAACAAAUAGUCACUCUCUGUGUUUU